rnacentral:rRNA from 1 species
AACGCGAAGAACCUUACCCAGGCUUGAACAGCGAGUGACCAUCUCCGAAAGGGGACUUCCGCAAGGACACUCGUAGAGGUGCUGCAUGGCUGUCGUCAGCUCGUGUCGUGAGAUGUUGGGUUAAGUCCCGCAACGAGCGCAACCCUUGUCUGCUGUUGCCAUCAGGUUAAGCUGGGCACUCUGCAGAGACUGCCGGUGAUAAACCGGAGGAAGGUGGGGAUGACGUCAAGUCAGCAUGGCCUUUAUGUCUGGGGCUACACACGUGCUACAAUGGCCGGUACAAACCGUCGCGAGCCCGCAAGGGGGAGCUAAUCGGAGAAAGCCGGUCUCAGUUCGGAUCGUAGGCUGCAACUCGCCUGCGUGAAGUUGGAAUCGCUAGUAAUCGCGGAUCAGCACGCCGCGGUGAAUACGUUCCCGGGCCUUGUACACACCGCUCGUC